UCCGGAAACGGUCGGAAACUCACUCAGCCCCCGGCGACUCUCCAUUGGAAUUGAAUGACUUCCGGUCUAUAGUCUGUCGUUUGCCGGAUGCAGAGAAAAGGCGGCUUUAGGAAAAAACGUUCAACUUUUUUUCUGCGAGUUUUAAAACCUUAUUGUUUUUUAUUUGACUUUGAAUCAAGUAUAAAGCCGUGAGGAUCACUGAAAUAAAAGUGGUUUUUAAUUCUCUAUCUCAGUAUUUCUGGUUACAUGAACUCUUCAAAUUAGUAUUUUUUUCUUUCAUUUUCAUUCAAACUCUGCACAUUAAUGAACAGUUGAGAGCAAUGUUGAUUGACAGGUGAAGUCCUCAGGUCAUGUUCCCAUAGCAACCACCUGUUUCAACCUACCCCCUCCCCUGUGCGCAUGCAUGUAGCAUCUGCCCAGAGUUGCAGCAUCAGAUACGGCAUUUAUUAUUUAAAAUGCUCAAGAUGAUCUUGCUCCAUAGGUACAAAAAAGAGCCUGCAUUGCACCUUUUCAAAGGGCUGUUAUGUCAUCCAUUCAUUUAUGUGGACAGGAGCACGUAUAGAACUCCUUUUGGACCCAUAGAAACUGAGGAAACAAGAAUCAAAAACUGCCUCUGAAAUGUGUUGCCAAACUACUGGGAGUCUCUUGAGCAACAUUGUUUAGGAGGUUGGCUGACAAUAUAUCAGUUAGAGCAUUGGAUAGCACCUGUACUGAUGAUGAGCUGGCAACAGAGGUGAAGAACUCUAUACCAGAUGCUGGAUAACGGAUGGCCUGAGGGGCUCUCCUUGCACAAGGACACUGUGUGCAGUGGGACAGAGUGUGUGCAUCCAAGUACAUGGUGCGUAUAGACACCAACUAAUCAGGUACAACAAAUACACACUACUGCUAUUUACACUGGCUUUCGGACUCAACACCCUGAGAUGCUAUGAACUCAACAGUGUGUUCUCAGGGCAAAUGUGUGUCAUGUUUGUGAGUAAUUUAUUUCUUGGCACUUUCAGUGUUUCAAGGGAUGCCAUAUUUUAUUAGGUACAACAUUAUAAUCUUUGGGGGAAUAGAUAUUCGUGAAAGAUAAUGUACCAAAAGGUAGCAAACAUCAAUCGCUUUCCACUGAGACUGAGAGGUGAUCAUGGAGGUGAAAAUGUAGAAGUAGCACAGCUUUUGUUUUCAGUUUGUAGAACUGACAACAACAGCUUCAUUGCUGGUAAAAGUGUUCAUAAAAGUAAGUCCAGGUGAGGAGCAGUUCAGUCAGAUGCAGAACUGUUUACCUGAGCAGACUGAACCACAGAUCCCAACAGACAGUGAGAGACUGACCUCUGAGCUUAGACACACCAUCAGCUCAUUUAUGCAGGAGGUGGAUGAAUUCAAAACACGUGUGAGCACCAUGUCAAUGAAUGUGGAAGAGCAACAAAUGGUGCUGAAAAGCAUGAUGGAAGCUCAGGAUCAGCUGUAGAGAAAUUACCUCACAAAGAGGGAGGAGCAUCGGACUUUGGAGAUGCAGAACUACAUGGGUCUAGCCAGAAAUACAGGAGAGUUUGACCCUGACAGAGCCGGCCAGAUCCAGCUCCGUUCCUGCUUGGUGUCGGACUCCACUGCUACAUGUCACUGAAAGAUGACGACAAACUACAGCCGGUUGUAGCCAGACAUUACUUCAGUCUUUUGACUUCAGAGGAUGAACGGAUGCCAACUCCAAUUGUAAGACAUGGACAUUGGACCCCACCGAAAUGACCUGCCGGUUGAACUGCGAUGCACCUCAUUGAUCUCUGCCUGCAUCACCUUUGUCUAUUGAUGGACAACACACUUGAAGUGGAAUACAUAGACUAUCAUUUAAAAGCCUUCAUCAGCCAACUAACAAAGGACAAUGCAACUUCUGCAGUUAAUCCAGGAUGGAUUUCAAAGACAUUAGUCAAUCUUAAAGUUAAUAAAAUAUCUUUGUUUAAACACAGGCCCUUAACACUUACUUAGUUUAAUAAUUUGAAAACAUGACUGCACAUAAAUAACUAAUAAUGGCAUUAUAUUCAUACUGUUUAGCCAGAGGGGACAAAUAGUAGUAAUAGAAUAGUAUUGUUAUGUUUUUAAAUGAGAUAUAAAAUGAAGAAUCUAGUCAUAUUUGUCUUAAAGAAAAGGCUGCUUUAGUCUACAUAUGGUGAGCAAUUUAUUAGGAACACCUGUUCACUUACUUAUUCAUGCAAUUAUCUAAUCAGCCAAUCGUGUGACAGCAGUGCAAUGCAUAAAAUCAGGCAGAUAUGGGUCAGGAGCUUCAGUUAAUGUUCACAUCAAUUUAUUUCAUGUUACAAAUGGUCACAACAAUUGAGGAUGCAAUUCCAGACAAAAAUGGAUUAAAUCCAGAAACCUUAAUAAUGAACAUUAAAGAGACUGGUUAAUGAAAAACUACAGAAUGUGGAUAGAAGAGCAACCUGGAAACAACAGAAUUAAAGGAAUAUUCCAGGUUCAAUACAAGUUAAGCUCAAUCGACAGCAUUUGUGGCAUACAAAUUUUUGAUUUUAGACUUUUUCUUCCUUUUCUUUAAAAAAGCAAAAAUCUGGGUUACAGUGAGGUACUUACAAUGGAAGUGAAUGGGACCCAAUCCAAACAGGUUUAAAUAUUCACUAUUUCAAAAGGAUAGCCACAAGAUGUAAACAAUAUGUGUUAACUUGAUUGUAGUGUAAUAAAAUUGCUAAAUUUUCUGUGCAAUGCUAUACCCAGUUUUACAACUUUGUUGCUAUGAUGACAGUAAGCUGUAAACCCUAAAAUGACUGUUAAAAUGAAAAUUUAAAGUUUACAGCUCAAAUAAUACAAAAGUUUUAACAGAAAAAUGAAUGUGCCUUUAUUAAAAAAAAAAAUACUUUCAUUUACAUGUAAGGAAAAUGUAAUGUAAGGAAUUGACAUCAAACAAAUAUUACUGACCAUAUGGUUCAGAGACAAGAAACUGCCUAGAAAGAUACAAAACAAGUACAAACUAUUCUAUAAUAAUGACAACUUCUCUGAAAUUUUCUGCAAACCCCCUAGCACCCCCUUGUGGCCCCCAGUUUGAAAACCCCUGGUUUACAUAGUUUUACUAAAAAUCAGGGACAAAGAUACUGAUUAAAAAUAGGACAGUGUAGCAAGGUCAGUGACCAAGGUCAGUCAUUAGUUACAUACUAUCUCAACUUGGAAAAGUUCUCAUGACUUUUUACUGCUUUCCUGGACCUCAGCAAACCUGAUAUUUGGAGGUUUAGGAGUCUUUGGAAGAAAGAUUUGAAUAAACAUUUAACACUCCAAUGCAUGACAUCUGGAGACAAUGAAUGAAUGGAGACAACAGCACAGGUGGAUUUUGUCUUGUAUAAUGUAACCUUUUUCAACUUCUCACUGGGGGAGUUACUGCAAGCCUACUCCUUGAGCAAUCUCAGUGUAAAAUACAGUAACUUUAGAGACACUUAAAAUGAAAGGGAAAUAUGGACAUAUCAGGUGUACUUUUUCAUGACUUUCAUGAAUUGUGCUCCCACUCUGCUUGACACUCUAUUCAAAAUCAGACAAAGCUGAGACAAAUGCAAACUAUCAAUGACCCAGAUUCAUGUGAUUUAUUCUGUGGGAUUGUGAGUAAACAAAGCCCCUGUCCACAAAUAUGAAAUAGAUAUACUAUACCCUUUACUUCUUUCUUGACCUUUUGGCCACUUUUGAUGUAAUGCAUUUGUUUUGUUUUUUUUACUUCUGU